rnacentral:rRNA from 1 species
AUAUUAUUAAGCGGAGGAAAAGAAACUAACAAGGAUUCCCUCAGUAACUGCGAGUGAACAGGGAAGCGUUCAAACUGAAAAUUGACCUAAACAGUCAAAUUGUAGUCUCGUGAAAUGCAACUAGUGAGGGUUUUGGAUAAAGUCUCUUGAAAAAGAGUACAAUAGAGGGUGAUAGUCCCGUCUGUAUCCACUUCUGCUCACGUACGGUGCGUUUUUCUAGAGUCGUGUUCUUUGAGAGUAGAGCACAAAGUGGGUGAUAAGUUUCAUCUAAAGCUAAAUACUGGCAAGAGACCGAUAGCGCACAAGUA